CCUUUGUUUUGAGUGUUCGAUUUUGUUCCUGGACAAAAUGUCCCUUUAAAACAGCUACCAACAUUUCAUAAUUCAUUGUUUGCCAUGAAAUCAGCGGGUUUGUAAUUUUGUUUCCUAGAUACCUUGAGAGCAGCCCAGGAGUGUCCUUGAUAAAGGAAAUGACUCUUCUAUUCACUGAAUGCUUAUUGUGAAUAGAGAAUCAAGACUGUUUCCAUCAUCAAUGUGUCCUGGGUUUAUCUGGUGUUCCAGCAAUUUCACUGAAUAGUGAGUCAUUAUUUAUUAAUAAUCUGCUGUGUAUCUGGAACUCACUACAUCAUCUCUUUCCCAUCAUAAGAAAAAGUGAAAGACUCAGUAUGUUCAGAAGAAAACUUUAA
rnacentral:lncRNA from 1 species